rnacentral:rRNA from 1 species
CUUGUGGCUGGGGGUGAAAGGCCAAUCAAACCGGGAGAUAGCUGGUUCUCCCCGAAAGCUAUUUAGGUAGCGCCUCGUGAAUUCAUCUUCGGGGGUAGAGCACUGUUUCGGCUAGGGGGUCAUCCCGACUUACCAACCCGAUGCAAACUACGAAUACCGAAGAAUGUUAUCACGGGAGACACACGGCGGGUGCUAACGUCCGUCGUGAAGAGGGAAACAACCCAGACCGCCAGCUAAGGUCCCAAAGUCACAGUUAAGUGGGAAACGAUGUGGGAAGGCACAGACAGCCAGGAUGUUGGCUUAGAAGCAGCCAUCAUUUAAAGAAAGCGUAAUAGCUCACUGGUCGAGUCGGCCUGCGCGGAAGAUGUAACGGGGCUAAACUGUGCACCGAAGCUGCGGCAGCGACACUAUGUGUUGUUGGGUAGGGGAGCGUUCUGUAAGCCUGCGAAGGUGGCCUGUGAGGGUUGCUGGAGGUAUCAGAAGUGCGAAUGCUGACAUAAGUAACGAUAAUGCGGGUGAAAAGCCCGCACGCCGGAAGACCAAGGGUUCCUGUCCAACGUUAAUCGGGGCAGGGUGAGUCGACCCCUAAGGCGAGGCCGAAAGGCGUAGUCGAUGGGAAACAGGUUAAUAUUCCUGUACUUGGUGUUACUGCGAAGGGGGGACGGAGAAGGCUAUGUUAGCCGGGCGACGGUUGUCCCGGUUUAAGCAUGUAGGCGGAGGUUC